AUUGAACGCUGGCGGCAGGCCUAACACAUGCAAGUCGAGCGGAUGAAGGGAGCUUGCUCCUGGAUUCAGCGGCGGACGGGUGAGUAAUGCCUAGGAAUCUGCCUGGUAGUGGGGGAUAACGUCCGGAAACGGGCGCUAAUACCGCAUACGUCCUGAGGGAGAAAGUGGGGGAUCUUCGGACCUCACGCUAUCAGAUGAGCCUAGGUCGGAUUAGCUAGUUGGUGGGGUAAAGGCCUACCAAGGCGACGAUCCGUAACUGGUCUGAGAGGAUGAUCAGUCACACUGGAACUGAGACACGGUCCAGACUCCUACGGGAGGCGGCAGUGGGGAAUAUUGGACAAUGGGCGAAAGCCUGAUCCAGCCAUGCCGCGUGUGUGAAGAAGGUCUUCGGAUUGUAAAGCACUUUAAGUUGGGAGGAAGGGCAGUAAGUUAAUACCUUGCUGCUUUGACGUUACCAACAGAAUAAGCACCGGCUAACUUCGUG
rnacentral:rRNA from 1 species